GACGAACGCUGGCGGCGUGCCUAAUACAUGCAAGUAGAACGCUGAAGGAGGAGCUUGCUUCUCUGGAUGAGUUGCGAACGGGUGAGUAACGCGUAGGUAACCUGCCUGGUAGCGGGGGAUAACUAUUGGAAACGAUAGCUAAUACCGCAUAAGAUUGACUAUUGCAUGAUAGUCAGUUAAAAGGUGCAAUUGCAUCACUACCAGAUGGACCUGCGUUGUAUUAGCUAGUUGGUGGGGUAACGGCUCACCAAGGCGACGAUACAUAGCCGACCUGAGAGGGGGGUCCGCCACACUGGGACUGGAGCACGGCCCAGACUCCUACGGGAGGCAGCAGUAGGGAAUCUUCGGCAAUGGACGGAAGUCUGACCGAGCAACGCCGCGUGAGUGAAGAAGGUUUUCGGAUCGUAAAGCUCUGUUGUAAGAGAAGAACGAGUGUGAGAGUGGAAAGUUCACACUGUGACGGUAUCUUACCAGAAAGGGACGGCUAACUACGUG
rnacentral:rRNA from 1 species